GACGAACGCUGGCGGCGCGCCUAACACAUGCGAGUCGAACGGAGCUUAGAGAGCUUGCUUUUUAAGCUUAGUGGCGAACGGGUGAGUAACGCGUGAGUAACCUGCCCUAGAGUGGGGGACAACAGUUGGAAACGACUGCUAAUACCGCAUAAGCCCACGGUGCCGCAUGACACUGAGGGAAAAGGAUUUAUUCGCUUUAGGAUGGACUCGCGUCCAAUUAGCUAGUUGGUGAGGUAACGGCCCACCAAGGCGACGAUUGGUAGCCGGACUGAGAGGUUGAACGGCCACAUUGGGACUGAGACACGGCCCAGACUCCUACGGGAGGCAGCAGUGGGGGAUAUUGCACAAUGGGGGAAACCCUGAUGCAGCGACGCCGCGUGGAGGAAGAAGGUUUUCGGAUUGUAAACUCCUGUCGUUAGGGACGAUAAUGACGGU
rnacentral:rRNA from 1 species